UCUAUGAAUGCAACCUCCCCUAGAGACACCAACUGACUGGCCAGCAAUUCUCACUCCCCACAAGGCAAACAACCUCUAAUAAUUGUGUCUACUAAUUACCACUGACUGCUGUCUGAGGAGUUGUCUCACAUUUUAUUUUUCUCUGGGGUCAUCUGGGAUGGCCCAUGAAGGCCAAGAGCAGGAAGGUGGUGAAGGAUGGAUCAGCACUGCCUGGCUUCAGAGGCUUCCCAAAUGUCUCAGCCAGCUGUGUCCUGGGUAGCACAUCUCAAGAGAUGCAAGUAUCAGUGUAUCUCCAUUCCUUCUUAGCAAAGUGCUCCUUGCACUUCCUGUUGAGGUUUCCUGGGAUAAACCAGAGGAGUAGCAACGCAUUUAUUGCCACCAAAACUGCAAGAAACUUUCCAUGGGGGGUAUUCAAGUGAUCCAGCUUUAUAGAUCAAAAAAUAAAGGGUUCAAAUUUGGA